rnacentral:rRNA from 1 species
UACAGAGGGUGCAAGCGUUGUUCGGAAUUAUUGGGUGUAAAGGGCGUGUAGGCGGUUUGCUAAGUCAUGUGUGAAAUCCCCCGGCUUAACCGAGGAACGACGCAUGAUACUGGCAAGCUAGAGUACCAAAGAGGGGGGUGGAAUUCCCGGUGUAGCGGUGAAAUGCGUAGAUAUCUGGAGGAACACCGGUGGCGAAGGCGGCGUCCUGGACCAAUACUGACACUGAGGAGCGAAAGCCAGGGGAGCAAACGGG